rnacentral:lncRNA from 1 species
UGUUAGUUUCAGGUAUAAAAAAGUGAAUCAGUUAUACAUAUAUUCAUUCUUUCUCAGAUUCUUUUCCCAUAUAGUUAUUAUAGAAUAUUGAGUAGAUUUCCCUGUGCUUUACAGCAUGUCCUUGUUGAUUAUCUAUUUUAUACAUAGCAGUAGGUAUAUGCUAAUCCCAAGCUCCUAAUUUCUCCUCCUACCCCUACAUUUCCCCUUUGGUAACUGUAAAUUUGAUUUUGAAAUCUGUGAGUCUGUUCCUGUUUUGUAAAUAAGUUCUUUUGUAUCAUUUUUAUUAGAUUCCACAUAUAGGUGAUGUCAUAUGAUAUUUCUCUUUCUCUGUCUGACUUACUUCACUUUGUAUGAUAAUCUCUAGGUCCAUCCAUGUUGCUGCAAAUGGCAUUGUUUCAUGCUUUUUUUCCCCAUAAAGUCAUUCCUGAUUGCAUUGUGGUUUUCACUUAAUCAUGUUCAGUGUCUUGUUGUACUGCUUUGGUGACCCUCAUUCUGGCAUCUCAUAGCAUCUUUCAGUUGUUUCAGGUUAGAUUUAUAUUGGCAAAUAAACAGUAAGUCCCAAGAGGGCAGGGCUUUGUUUUAUGGCACAGAUAACUGUAGUGUCUGGCACAGUGUAGAAUAUAUGAUGGAUGUUUAUGACUUGCUUGAGUCACAAGUGGAAGGAAUGACUGAACUUGAUAAUUCCACAUUUUGAAAUGAAUGUUUAGUAGCACCAAGGGGCAUGUUUUUUAUGGUGCAUCCCAUAUAACCAGAUAAUUCACCUCUGACUAUAAAUUGGUAUCCUCCUCAAAUUCAUCUUUCAAGGCACUUAAAAUCUCUGAAAUUACAUCCUUACUCUCUUGUCAUUACAUAUAUUCUUCCUGGGUCAUCUCAAUUCCUCUGAUGAUGGUAAAUUUUCUUAUGUGUAAGGACUUACAAAUGUGUGUUUCUGGCCCAGAAUUUUCACCCUGAGCUCCCAAUGUACAUAUCUAACUUCACCAUCAUCUCUCUGUGUUCCUGUAGAACUUGUACAAAUCACAUCCACAAUUAAAUACAGGAGGGUACAUGUGGGAAAGACAAAAAACAAAAUACAUUUAAAAUCAUUUUCAUGUCUAUGUCCCUGUACUAGACAAGGCUCUCCUUGAAGGAAGAAAUGAGUCUUGUUCAUCUUUAAAUGCUCAGCAUACAACAUAAGCUGAAACAAAGUAGGAAUUUAAUAAAUCUGAAUGAAUAAAUAAUGUACAAAAAUAUGAGCUGGUUCCUGCUGUAAAUGACUAAAAAUCAACAUGGUAUGUAGAAUGUUUACAGAACAUUCUCACUGGGCCAUAGUUCUACACAAUCCCUUCACAGGCGUCUCUGGAUGGGUGCUUGCCAUCUCCCUCCCACCAUGCUUGCCAUCUCCCUCCCACCAUGCAUACUCCAUACACACAGGUGCAGUUAUCAGAAUGAGGGCUCACCUUGCUACCUGGUGUGGUGGGAGGAGACAAACCUGAACUUGGUCUGCACCCUGAUGUGCUCCCCCACUGAAGAGCUGGGUCCUCUCAGUGCACCCCCAUCUGCCUCACAUGUGACUUCUUCUGCCCUCUACUUUUCUCUCCUUUUCUAAAUGAAAAAGCCAUCAUUUCUGACACCAAGAAUGGAAAAGAAGAUGCUUUCGAAGAAGGAACUUAAAAAAUGAACUAGGGACAAACCUACAUUUAACCAACUGGCAUAUUUUUCAAUUUAAUUUGGCUUUAUGGGUAAAGACAUUGGUUUUAAAAUUUAAAUACUAAGAAAUCAGGAAAUAGGUGUAUUUGGAGGGUGCACUGAUGGGGCAGAUUGAUAGGAAAGGUUUAACAGGAAAUAUUUUAUCAAAACAAUGACUCAUCCUGUAUUCCUAGGUCCUCAAAUUGUAAUAGUUUCUUCUAAAUCCACAUUAAAUGUUGACAGCUGCUACAGGAAUGUGCUUCAAAUUCCAUCCUGAUAUUCUAAUUUUCUCACUUUCAAUCAUUUAUUUGUCUUCAGUUACUUUGUUUUGUUUUUUGGUUUUGGUCCCUGCACUGACAAAGAAGACAGGAAUGUUCACGCUAUUUUAUCAAAGGCUGGGUGGGGCGGCGGGGCUCAUCUGCCCAUUAGAAGUGCAACCAGGUGAUGGAGGCAGCACAGGAAGAUGGGGUCCUUGACCAAAUGGUCAAGGUUGAUUUCCUCUGGAUGGCCAAGAAGCCACUGAGAACCUAGGGUGCAGUGCGUAGGGAGUAGGGGGCAAGGAUGCUGGCUGGUAGGAGACCCAGUGAGGGGCAGGAGGGUUGGGGGGAGGCAGCCAGGAGCACUGCAGGGUGAGGGUGGGAGGGAUGUGGGGUGAUCCGCUGAGAGUUGGAGCUCAUAGGCCUUCUAUGUGCAGCCUGGUGGCAGGGUGGGUAACAGGCAGGGGCAGGGCAUGCAGCCAAGGGCGGGCUCCUGUGCUACAGAGAAAGCUGGACCUCACAAGUCCCCUCAAAGUGCCAGGUCCAGGUUGGCUUUCAGACUUAUUCUAGAAAAAGUGGGAUCUCCUCUGUCUAUCAACACUCAGACCGUCACUUCUCCAAUUGUUCCUGACUGCGUCUGUUACACUUACGUUAAACAGAUGACUACACUAAGUGGCUUCAUUACAAUAAUUCUCUUUCUGAUCUUUGGCCUCAACUUUUCAUCGGCCGGUUAAGUUUGUUUCUUCUAGAAUACAACAAACAAGUCUCCAAAUGAUAUACAGUGGGGAUAUCAACCAAUCAACACCUGACAAUGUUGAAAAAAGCCAUCACAGCGCCCCGUGGGGCCACACCGCCCUCUUCAGGAAUGCCCUGAGAGCAGGCAGAAGGAACCCAGAGCCCUGCAACACCCACGUUCAGCAGGAAGCAGCCAGAAUGGUUGUCGCCCCUCUUCCCUUAUAAUCUGGGUUCCCAGAUGCCAUAGAGGGAAACAUGAGCAGGGUGUUCAAAGGGGCCAAAGACUUGCCCCAAGAGAAAGAAGGAAGAAUGUUAACUUCGAGUCCCCCUCAAAGAGACUCUACUCAAAGCCUCUGGCCAAGACAAGAAUUACCAGAUCCUUAUCAUUGCCCUACAGGUGGCACUGUAAUGCCCCUCCCCGACCUUACGAGCAAAGGUAUGCGGCCCACUCCUCAUCACGCCUUCGCUGGGUCAAUAAGAACACAGGAACGUCCCUAUAACCUGCCCCGCGUGCAAAUACGGUAUCUUGCCCGAGACCAAUGGGAAGAUCAAAUAUGCCCCAUGAGAGACCAAUCGACACUCAGCCCUUACACUCGCGGUGGGCCAGGGCGGGAUGGAUCACUGGGCCGGGGUGGGAGAAGCAGGCCCCCACUCAGGUCCCUAGCGUGGGGACACAAGGAAAACCCACCUGUGAAGCGGGCCAGUCCCUGCGUGCCCGGCGGCCCCGCUCUCGCUCCCAGUGUACCUGUGCUUUCAUAAACCUGCCCUAACGCGCCCACCGUUUCAAGUCUCUGCUGCUGCGGCAACAA